rnacentral:rRNA from 1 species
GACGAACCGUGCAAACGUUGUUCGGAAUCACUGGGCUUAAAGGGCGCGUAGGCGGAUAUUCAAGUCGGUGGUGAAAUCCCCCAGCUUAACUGGGGAACUGCCUUCGAUACUGGGUAUCUCGAGUGAGGUAGGGGCAUGCGGAACUGAUGGUGGAGCGGUGAAAUGUGUUGAUAUCAUCAGGAACUCCGGUGGCGAAAGCGGCGUGCUGGACCUCAACUGACGCUGAGGCGCGAAAGCUAGGGGAGCAAACGGGAUUAGAUACCCCGGUAGUCCUAGCCCUAAACGAUGAGAACUAGGUAGUGGACUUGACAUGGGUUCACUGCCGGAGCAAAAGUGCUAAGUUCUCCGCCUGGGGAGUAUGGUCGCAAGGCUGAA